CCUCGAUCGCCCCGCCCCGGUCGCUUGGGCCCUGGGUGGCAGGUUUGCGCAGCCCUGCGGCGAUUUCAAGGCAAGUGACCGGAAUGGGUCGGAAGCGCGUCCCGGUGAGUUUCAGGGAGCGUCCCUUAGGUUUCCGGGGGCGGCGUUGAACCUCCCUAGCCCCAGUCUUCCCAUCCCAGGAGACCCGCCCCUAGUGGCUCGAACGCCCCUAGCCAGGAGAGCCCCGAGUAGUGCCACUUGUGGAAGACUACGUGCCUGUCGGAAUUAGGAACCGCACCUCCCCUUCCGCUAAGCGGUGGGAGGCCAGGCGGGUGACGCGGAGCAGUGGAGCCAUGCAGCCUGUUUUACCAAAAGAUGAAAUCAAACCAGAAAUCAAAAAUGGAAGGAUAGGUGGCUGGCAAGAUGGUUGAAUAGGAACAGCUCCGGUCUGCAGUUCCCAGUGAGAUCAACACAGAAGGUGGGUGAUUUCUGCAUUUCCAACUGAGGUACCCAACUUAUCUCACUGGGGCUGGUUAGACAGUGUGUGCAGCCCACAGAGGGUGAGCUGAAGCAAGGUGGAAUGGUGCAUCAUCUAGAAGCACAAGGAGUUGGGGAACUCCCUCCCCUAGCCAAGGGAAGCCGUAAGGGACUGUGCCAUGGGGUAUGGUGCACUCUGGCCCAGAUA
rnacentral:lncRNA from 10 species